UGCACCCCGGCAGAAAGGAACGCUGUGGAGGAAGAAAGCUGCUGUGCUCCUGGCCGGGCUCAGCUGGGCUCACACCAGGGCCUCUGCCGCCCAGAGGCUCCUGUUUGGGGCCGCGGCCAGAGCCACCCUCGCAAACACGGCGGGAGCGCCCGGCCAGGACAGUCCACGCGGCCAGGCCCGGGGACCCGAAGGCGCUCCCGGGCGUCCUGUGUGUCUUUCCUUCUCGGGACCAAGGCACUGGCUUCAGCCCACUCAAAACUCAGUAGGGUCUUCUUGUCACCGCCCCCUAAGAGAAGGUGACUGACUCACUCCAACGACGGGAGCAGAGGAGGCCCUGCACGCUGGCGACUAGACUUAAACUUGCAUCAGAUGCCUUUAAGCAAGACAAGAGGAUCCAGUUCUUAAUCACAGGAUGACAGAUUAAGAAAGAGUUGAGAUCCAAAGGGGCCAGGAGAGGAGAGGGAGAAGGGAAGGCUUCAAGUCACGCUGACUGUGAGACCUGUCCCCCGUUCUACUAACCAGACAGAAGCUCUCAAAAAUUCACCUAUUUUGAAACUGUCAAUUCUGUCCUGUCCUCAGGCUCAAGGGGACAUGCAGCUUCUACCUGCUGUAACCCAGUCUCAGCCAUGACCUCCCCCAUGUCUUUGCUGAGCGUGCUGGGAGGGCCACACACAGCUCUGCCCUGCGUCUCUGGAAUGUAUAAGAACAAGGGUGUGUUGCAUCAUUACCACUUCCAGAGGUUCCUUAAAUAAAAUAGCUCCAAAUGGGGGUGCCUGA